rnacentral:misc_RNA from 1 species
GAUGAAGAACGCAGCGAAAUGCGAUACGUAAUGUGAAUUGCAGAAUUCAGUGAAUCAUCGAAUCUUUGAACGCAUAUUGCGCUCUUUGGUAUUCCGAAGAGCAUGCUUGUUUGAGUAUCAGUAAAACACUCAAAUCUUUUUUUUUCUUGAAGAAAAAGAUUUGGUUUUGAGUAAUCCUAACAAAAGAGUUUUCUCCUUUGGCAGGUCACUUGAAAUUCAGGUGCAGCUGAACAUUCUUCUGAGCUAAAAGCAUAUCUAUUUAGUCCUUGGUUUAACCGCUAGGAUUAUUACUUUUUGCUGCAGCUUACAUAAAGGUUGAUUUGUUCAAAUUUUUCUGACUGAUGCAGGAAUAUAUCAGUGAAAGCUUUUUUUAAAGUAGAAACUGUGAAUCUCGAUCUCAAAUCAAGUAAGACUACCCGCUGAACUUAAGCAUAUCAAUAAGCGGAGGA